rnacentral:rRNA from 1 species
UGGGGAAUAUUGGACAAUGGGGGAAACCCUGAUCCAGCGAUGCCGCGUGUGUGAAGAAGGCCUGCGGGUUGUAAAGCACUUUAGAUGGGGAGGAGAGGUGUCAGUUGAAUAGGCUGAUACUGAGACGUUACCCAAAGAAUAAGCACCGGCAAACUCUGUGCCAGCAGCCGCGGUAAUACAGAGGGUGCGAGCGUUAAUCGGAGUUACUGGGCGUAAAGGGCACGUAGGCGGUUGAAUAAGUCAGUUGUGAAAGUCCUGGGCUUAACCUGGGGACGGCAAAUGAAACUGUUUGACUGGAGUCGAAGAGAGGGGGGCGGAAUUUCCGGUGUAGCGGUGAAAUGCGUAGAUAUCGGAAGGAACACCUGUGGCGAAGGCGGCCCUCUGGCUUCAGACUGACGCUGAGGUGCGAAAGCGUGGGUAGCGAACAGGAUUAGAUACCCGUGUAGUCC